AGACUUUCCGUGUGCGAGGGCUCCGCCCUCAUGACCUCCCGUGCGCGAGGAGGGUUCCGCCCUCACGACCUUCCGUGUGCGAGGAGGGUUCGGCCCUCACGACUUUCCGCGUGCGAGAGUUCCGCCCUCAUGACCUUGUCACCUUCCAGAGGCCCUGCCUAAUAGCCCCAUCACCUUGCCGGACAAUGUGAAGUCAACGUCUAAUGGACCCGAGUUCAGGCAAGACACACACCAGUUGGUCCAGGGAAGAACCUCAAGGUGAAGCAGUAGUGAGUGUCCAAGCAACUCACAGCCUAACCUCAGGGGUCUGACUCCGGGGCUGCUUCUGCCACGGCUCCUGGCUGGCGAUGGGGCUGUCUGCGUGUCAGCCAACCAUGCAUUGCAGAUGCACUUUGAGGGAAAAUUAAUGUACCUGGGUACUUAUGGGACUCCCUGCAUGAGUGGGGUCUAAUUGAAAUAGCCAGGACAUCAAAAAGCUGGAACACUGGGAGCCUGGCCCUAGGAUGGUGGAGGCCUCAGCACAGCCCCCAGCUGGUUGCAAAGAGGCUUCCUAUGCUUUCCUUUCCUUGCCACUGCGGAAGUGUUAGGGAACAGGCAGACCAGGGCAUUGCCAAGUGAAUAAUAACAACCAUGUGUGCACUAUUCACGAUAUCCCAGGCUCAGUAAGAGCUGCCUUUUACUCAGGAUCUCAUGUGAUGCUGAAAACAAUCACGAAGUUUAGAAGCCUGUGCAGACGAAGGGAUGUGCUGUUUCCCUGUUGAUCCAAACUGCAUGCUGACCUGUUCCUGCCAGGGCUGCCCUCCUCCUGCUUUGCCCUGGCUCUCCCACUCUGUGCUCCCUCUCCUGCCGGGGAUUCCUGGAAGCACCUUUUAUUCACAGUGUGCUUUGAAUACACACAAAUAAAAUUUGUAGCCCACUCCACACAAUUGAAAAUAUAAUGUAAUAAAAAUCAGAAAAGUAAAUCCAGUAAAGUCUCUAACACAUGUUAGGGUCUCAAUAAAUGGACCCUAGGAGGGUGGGGAAAUGGCUUUGGUUUUUAACUGUGCCUCUUUUGAGCUUGAUGCUGUUAACUUAGUACAAUCUAUCAAUAAAUAUUGUCAUCAAGAAAAUAUUGAAGGUGUACCUGAGUCACAGGCGAGGAGGUGCAGGGCUUCUGAGUCACCCGCCCGGGUGUCCUUCAGUCACCCGCCUGUGAACAAUGGAACUCGUUCAUGUCCCCUCGUCCUGCGUACCACCAGGGGGCACUGAUGAGCUGAGAAAGACUUUGCGGUCCAAAAAACGUACCAAAUGAAAAGGCCACUUCCCAGCUUCUGUAAUUAAGGCGAAAAGCAGACAGGGAAUUUAUUCAAGACCUUAUUCAGAUGGCAGGGGGAGGCGGGGCCGAGCAGCCAGUGUUGAAAAGGGUUUUAUCCAAGUCAGUUUAACAUCUUAAAAAAAAAAAUUGUUGGGCAUUUUUUUUUUUUUUUUGGAUGGAGUUUCAUUCUCGUUGUCAAGGCUGGCAAUUUUUACUUCUAAUAAUUUUCUUCUCACUACUGUCAAAUCAAGUUUAGCUUAAAGCUGCCUUACAUAUUUUCAAUUUCACCUAAAGGUUUUUUGGUACAUCAUAAACUAUAACUGUGUAAACAGACUGCACCCCAUACCUGCGCCAAUCACUGAAUUUUGCCAAUCAAAUGUAGCCAACUCUUUGAACCGUGUUCUAAUAAAUCCAACACCAAGCCAUAACCAACCCAGCCGUUUCUAUACCUCGCUUCCUUUUUCUGUCCAUAAAUCUUCCAUCAUGCAGCUGCACUGGAGCCUCUGAGCCCACCCUAGCUCAAAAGGCUGCCUGAUUCAUGAAUUGUUACUGACGUAAACUCCUUUAAAUUUAAUUUGGCUGAAGCUUUUAUCACUAGUUUUAAAAAAUCUCCAAAUGGGUUAUUCUCUUUUAUCCCCUGAUUAGAUGUUAUUCUCUUUUAUUCUCUAGUUAGAUUUACUUAGAUUCCCUAAUAAGAUUUUAUUGG